UCUCCGUUGGUGAACCAGCGGAGGGAUCAUUACCGAGUUUACAACUCCCAAACCCCUGUGAACAUACCAUUUGUUGCCUCGGCGGUGCCUGCUCCGGCAGCCCGCCAGAGGACCCAAACCCUUGAUUUUAUACAGUAACUUCUGAGUAAAUGAUUAAAUAAAUCAAAACUUUCAACAACGGAUCUCUUGGUUCUG
rnacentral:misc_RNA from 1 species